rnacentral:rRNA from 1 species
GACAGAGGUGCCAAGCGUUAGGCGGAAUCACUGGGCUUAAAGCGUGUGUAGGUGGACCUGUAAGUACCUUGUGAAAUCCCACGGCUUAACCGUGGAACUGCUCGGUAUACUGCGGGUCUGAGGUGCCUAGGGGCGAGCGGAACAAUGGUGGAGCGGUGAAAUGCGUAGAUAUCAUUGGAACGCCAUGGUGAAAACAGCUCGCUGGGGGCAUCUGACACUGAGACACGAAAGCCAGGGGAGCAAACGG